rnacentral:rRNA from 1 species
GAUGAACGCUGGCGGCGUGCCUAAUACAUGCAAGUCGAGCGAACAGACGAGGAGCUUGCUCCUCUGACGUUAUCGGCGGACGGGUGAGUAACGCGUGGAUAACCUACCUAUACGACUGGGAUAACUUCGGGAAACCGGAGCUAAUACCGGAUAAUAUAUUGAACCGCAUGGUUCAAUAGUGAAAGACGGUUUUGCUGUCACUAAUAGAUGGAUCCGCGGCGCAUUAGCUAGUUGGUAAGGGAACGGCUUACCCAGGCAACGAUGCGUAGCCGACCUAAGAGGGUGAUCGGCCACACUGGAACUGAGACACGGUCCAGACUCCUACGCGAGGCAGCAGUAGGGAAUCUUCCGCAAUGGGGGAAAGCCUGACGGAGGAAAGCCGCGUGAGUGAUGAAGGUCUUCGGCUCGUAAAAUCCUGUUAUUAGGGAAGAACAAAUGUGCAAGUAACUAUGCACGUCUUGACGGUACCGAAACAGAAAGCCACGGCUAACUACGUG